rnacentral:rRNA from 1 species
AUACGGAGGGGGCUAGCGUUGUUCGGAAUUACUGGGCGUAAAGCGCAUGUAGGUGGUGUGGCAAGUUAGAGGUGUAAGGCCUGGGCUCAACCUGGGAACUGCCUUUAAUACUGUCACGCUAGAGUUCGGGAGAGGGUAGCGGAAUUCCAAGUGUAGAGGUGAAAUUCGUAGAUAUUUGGAAGAACACCGGUGGCGAAGGCGGCUACCUGGACCGACACUGACACUGAGAUGCGAAAGCGUGGGGAGCGAACAGGAUUAGAUACCCUAGUAGUCC